rnacentral:rRNA from 1 species
CCUACGGGCGGCAGCAGUGAGGAAUAUUGGUCAAUGGGCGGGAGCCUGAACCAGCCAAGCCGCGUGAGGGAAGAAGGUACAGCGUAUCGUAAACCUCUUUUGUCAGGGAACAAAGGCGGGGACUAGUCCCCGGAUGAGGGUACCUGAAGAAAAAGCAUCGGCUAACUCCGUGCCAGCAGCCGCGGUAAUACGGAGGAUGCGAGCGUUAUCCGGAUUUAUUGGGUUUAAAGGGUGCGCAGGCGGCCUGUUAAGUCAGCGGUAAAAGCCCGGGGCUCAACCCCGGAGAGCCGUUGAAACUGGCGGGCUUGAGUUGGAGAGAAGUACGCGGAAUGCGCGGUGUAGCGGUGAAAUGCUUAGAUAUCGCGCAGAACCCCGAUUGCGAAGGCAGCGUACCGGCUCCACACUGACGCUGAGGCACGAAAGCGUGGGUAUCGAACAGGAUUAGAUACCCGUGUAGUC